AUUGAACGCUGGCGGCAGGCCUAACACAUGCAAGUCGAGCGAGCGGCGGACGGGUGAUUCAUGUCUGGGAAACUGCCUGAUGGAGGGGGAUAACUACUGGAAACGGUAGCUACUACCGCAUACCAUCAGAUGUGCCCAGAUGGGAUUAGCUCGUAGGGGGGGUAACGGCUAACCUAGGCGACGCUCCCUAGCUGGUCUGAGAGGAUGACCAGCCACACUGGAACUGAGACACGGUCCAGACUCCUACGGGAGGCAGCAGUGGGGAAUAUUGCACAAUGGGCGAAAGCCUGAUGCAGCAAUGCCGCGUGAGUGAAGAAGGCCUUCGGGUUGUAAAGCACUUUUAGCAGGGAGGCGUUACCCGAAGAAGAAGCACCGGCUAACUCCGUGCCAGCAGCCGCGGUAAUUC
rnacentral:rRNA from 1 species